CAGCUCAAAUUUGAAAUCUGGCCCCCAGGGUCCGAGUUGUAAUUUGUAGAGGAUGCUUUUGGCGCGGUGCCUUCUGAGUUCCCUGGAACGGGACGCCACAGAGGGUGAGAGCCCCGUAUAGUCGGACACCAAGCCUCUGUAAAGCUCCUUCGACGAGUCGAGUAGUUUGGGAAUGCUGCUCAAAAUGGGAGGUAAAUCUCUUCUAAAGCUAAAUACAGGCUAGAGACCGAUAGCGCACAAGUAGAGUGAUCGAAAGAUGAAAAGCACUUUGAAAAGAGGGUUAAAAAGCACGUGAAAUUGUUGAAAGGGAAGCGCUUGUGACCAGACUUGCGCCCGGUUGAUCAUCCAGCGUUCUCGCUGGUGCACUCUGCCGGGCUCAGGCCAGCAUCGGUUCUUGCGGGGGGAUAAAAGCUGUGGGAAUGUAGCUCCCUCGGGAGUGUUAUAGCCCGCUGCAGAAUACCCCCGCGGGGACCGAGGUACGCGUUCCGCAAGGAUGCUGGCGUAAUGGUCACCAGCGACCCGUCUUGAAACACGGACCAAGGAGUCAAGCAUUAGGGCGAGUGUUUGGGUGUCAAACCCGCACGCGAAAUGAAAGUGAACGUAGGUGAGAGCUUCGGCGCAUCAUCGACCGAUCCUGAUGUAUUCGGAUGGAUUUGAGUAAGAGCCUUACCGCUUGGACCCGAAAGAUGGUGAACUAUGCUUGAAUAGGGUGAAGCCAGAGGAAACUCUGGUGGAGGCUCGCAGCGGUUCUGACGUGCAAAUCGAUCGUCAAAUUUGAGCAUGGGGGCGAAAGACUAAUCGAACCAUCUAGUAGCUGGUUACCGCCGAAGUUUCCCUCAGGAUAGCAGUGUUGUUUUCAGUUUUAUGAGGUAAAGCGAAUGAUUAGGGACUCGGGGGCGCUAUUUAGCCUUCAUCCAUUCUCAAACUUUAAAUAUGUAAGAAGCCCUUGUUACUUUAUUGAACGUGGGCAUUCGAAUGUAUCAACACUAGUGGGCCAUUUUUGGUAAGCAGAACUGGCGAUGCGGGAUGAACCGAACGCGGGGGUAAGGUGCCAGAGUGGACGCUCAUCAGACACCACAAAAGGCGUUAGUACAUCUUGACAGCCGGACGGUGGCCAUGGAAGUCGGAAUCCGCUAAGGACUGUGUAACAACUCACCGGCCGAAUGUACUAGCCCUGAAAAUGGAUGGCGCUCAAGCGUCCCACCCAUCCCCCGCCCUUAGGGUAGAAACGAUGCCCUAAGGAGUAGGCGGCCGUGGCGAUCAG
rnacentral:rRNA from 1 species